rnacentral:lncRNA from 1 species
GGCUGAGGGUUUUCAGAAAAAGAGAGCUUUCCGAGAGAACAAAGCAAAGGGGUCUCUUUUGGUGACCUGUCCCAAUUUGGUCCUCAUCACCUCCAACGGGAGCACAUUGGCUGCGAGAGCUCAGAGGCUCCAGCAGGGGCCAGAGCUUCAAAGUCAGAGAAAAUCACGGGCAGGAGACAGGACCAUUCCUUUCAAGAGACAGACAUGUGCUCUCUGCCCCCAUCAUCCUUCUUUUUAAAAAUAACUUUCAAAAUGGAAAUGAAUUGUGGCCUCAUUCCCUUCUUCCUUUCUCUCUCUGUCCAAGGGAACCGCUGAGACUUUUAAACCAACAUGCACAUUAACAUUGGAUUUCAGAGCCAGGACCAGAUCCAUCAAGCUGUUCUUGAUGAAAACGGAUGGUUCCGAAAGACAAAAGCCAUGGUGGGGAGGGUGGCGGCUAUUCCCAGAGCAGUACCUGGGUCUGUCAAACAACGCCCAUUUGAGGAAUCAUUGGUCUUUAUAGUUAAAAGUCUGGGCUGCAGGGGUUCGAGCCUGUGCUCGGCCACUUGCUAGCUAUGUGGCCUCGGGCAAGGGAGUCUAGGUCUCCAUCCUCACAACCUAUAAAAUGAAGUUGGUGGUAAUGUUAGCUACCUCUAGGGUUACUUCAAGGGACAAAUGAGAUAAUCCAUAUACAGGCACUUAGAACAAUGCCUGGCAAAAUGCAAGUGUUCAAUAAACGUCACCUAUUAUUGUAAGCAAUAUGAUUAACAGCAUCUAACUGCUGUGGGCUGGUUGUGGGAUAGAUUUGAAAAUUUUAAAAAUUGUAUGCUGGGGGUGGAACUUGGUGGUACAAUCCUUACCUGGCAUGUGUAAGACCCUGGGUUCAGAACAAAAACAAAGGCUACAGUUCCUGUAACAGAAAUAAGGAGUAUACCUGAUUUUUCUGGUUCGUCAUCAGUUUGGGAUUCGGGAAUAAACUCUUAGGUUUACAUUGGAGAUGCAAACAGUGAACAAAGUGUAAUGGGCCCAAGUGGUGGGCGCGUGGUUACCCCCGUUAGUACUUGCUGAACUGAUGUACUGAUAUGGAAUAUUCUGAAAUUCCAGAGAGAGAGCAGCCCUUAGACAGUGAACAUGGGAUGUUCAGGGAUCCGCAAGUUUUAAAAUACUGCUAGUACUCUAGAGGCAGAGGUAGGUGGAGGCAGGCAGAUGGAUCUCUGUGAGUUCCAGGCCAGCCUGUCUACAUAAGCAAGUUCCAGGCUAACCAGGGCUACAUGGUGAGACCUUAGCUCAAAAAAUGAAAUAAAAUACUGCAGGAGUCGUAAAAGUCAAAGCUUAAGAGGUAGGUGAGAGGCCUACAUGGUAUGAAAUGUUUUAUAUAAUACAAAUUAGGAUCAGACAAGAGUUAGAUACUAAGAGAUGAUGCAGAUUACAGAUAACUCCAUGAUAAAAAUCGGUAGGUAUGACCGCCAUAGACAGAUUCUGGUAAGUGUGGGUACGCAGAGCAUGGUAGGAUGCCUUUCAUCUGGAAGCCCUCGGUGCUCCUUGGGACUCUGUCCUCCACACUGUUCAUUCAGUUAUUCAGUGAGUGUUUCUAAACUUCCACUAUGUGCCAGGCUCUCUCCCUGGGCUCUCAUCUGUCUCCUGGUUUAGCUGCAUGAGGGUGAGGGUUUUGUGGUUGUGUGUAUGUGUGUGUGGAGUGUUGUUGUUGUUGUUUACAUCUGUCUUCCUGUUGGGACACUGUCAACCUGAAGAAGCAAAAGUGUUUACUCAGAAUCCCAGUUCUCAAAGGGCCCCUGUGAUCUGGCAAGAUGGUUCAGUGGGUAAAGGUGCUUGCUGCCAACCCUAACAACCUGAGUCCAAUCCCAGGGGUUCACAUGGUGGAAUGAGAGAGCUGGCUUCUGCAAGUAGCCCUCUGACCUCCCCAUGCACACCAUGGCAUGUGUGCUCAGCUCCUGCCUCCAAAUAAAUAAAUAAAUAAAUAAAUAAAUAAAUAAAUAAAUAUAAUUUUAAGAACACCGCCCCCACCACCACCACCACCACCACUGUGGCUUUGCUAGGUAUCCAUUUCGGAGCCAGCUGUUAAGAAUAAGAACAAGAAUCUUUCAGGUGCCUCCACCUGCGCUGCACCCAUGGCCCUGUAACAUAGCUGUGGUGCCUAUGCUGUAAGAAAGAGUGGGGAUCUUAGGUUGCCACCCUAACCUUCCAAACUAAGGCGUUGAGAGGAAAAAAGGAACAGGGUCAAGUCAGUGCAAGCAAGCAAGCAAGCAAGCAGAAGAAGAAGAAGAAGAAGAAGGAAGAAGAAGAAGAGGAAGAAGAGGAAGAAGAGGAAGAAGAGGAAGAAGAGGAAGAAGAAGAAGAAGAAGAAGAAGAAGAAGAAGAAGAAGAAGAAGAAGAAGGAAGAAGAAGGAAGAGGAAGAAGAAGAAGAAGAAGAAGAAGAGGAAGAAGAGGAAGAGGAAGAAGAGGAAGAAGAGGAAGAAGAGGAAGAAGAGGAAGAAGAGGAAGAAGAGGAAGAAGAAGAAGAAGAAGAAGAAGAAGAAGAAGAAG